GCCGAUUGUGCUCUAGAAAUGCAUGUAGAUCUGCAUAUCUCGCCGAAAGCGACGCAUGUUGGAGCUGCCCCCUGCAGAUAUGGCUAAGUAUGUGGAAGGAAGCCAGGUGCCUCUCCUUUUCUAUCCCCAAGCCUGCCUGAUCAAGUUGACUCAGGAGUCAGGAUCCAAUGCUAACAUCACAACGCACUAGCUUUCGCAAGAACUCAUCUGCUCGGGGUUCGGGCUCCCAGCUGCAAACAGAAGACCACCGGGAAAAAAAAAAGUACAGCUGGUCCUCCUCUCUAUACCAGUGCACUUGUGGGCUGUGACAGCAACAGUCUCCCACCACCAAAAGGAAAAAUCUUGUGGGGGCAUCAUUGUAC
rnacentral:lncRNA from 1 species